ACUAAAAAUAGAAUCAAGGUCUUUUUAGUUAAUUAGUAUGCAAACAAAUAACAGAUAUUUGUCAUGAAAUGAAAGAAAAGUUUUAAAAUACCUUGUUUAGCACGUGCCUUAUAUGUUUUACGAUGACCUGAAUGGAACAGGUGGAAUAUUUACUGUAAAAAUUGUGCUUAGAGCCUUAACAUUUCCUAAACAUGUUUAGGAAAAUGUUUACAUGCUAUGCACAUAUAAUUCCAUAAUGUCCCCAAUCCAAACAUGUUUAGAAUUACAACAUGUAAUGCCCAACAUGCUUAAAGCCUAAACAUGUCAUGACCUAUGCGAUUAGAAAAGAUACCACGUGAUUGCGAACGCCGCAUGUUUCCCGUCUGCAAAUGCACAACAAAGGAAGAAGGAAUUCAGAACGGACCAGGAGAGCCGAUUAAAAACACAACUGUACCAGGAAUAUAUAUAUAUAUGUUUAUGACUUCUAUUUUUUAGAAUACAGAAAUGACAAAUAGAGACAUUACUGUUAGUUUGGAGCUGGUGAACCAACAAAUUACAGCACAAUAGCCAAGGCAAUACAACAAAAUGCAGGUUUAGAAACCUAAACCUGAGAAGACAGAAAGUCACCAGAAAGGUUAUAGUGGAAACUAAAACAAAUUGAUUAACAACUGCCACGGAAUUGUGGAAGAACAGAAGGUGGAUUUAAGCCUGGACAUUAAUAACAUCAUUUUGAGACUCAUCUUUUACUAUUACGUAUGGGAGUUAUCCUAUCCUAAGCAGUAUCAAAUUCUAGAACUUUUUAACAUUACAUUUUAUAGGACAAAAAAUAACUUCAUAUGAAUGCCAAUUAUGUAAAUUAUUGUAAAAAAAAAGCAGAAGACAUUACUAUGGAGAAUAACAGUUCUAAUGGAUCAACUGUGUUAGCAAAGAUAUAUGUACGCAGUUUAUAUUCAUAUAAUCUACAUAUAUCAGAUGUAUUUUUUUUAAACUUGGUGAAUAAAAUGUAAAGAAAUCAAA